GCGUUUAAUGUUUCCGGCUCGAAUGCCACGUUGGCCUGGCGCAGCCACAGCUCCAGCUCGGCCACCUUGGUCUUGCAGACAUGGAGGAUUUCCGCAGGCUUGGACCUAGCUUUCUCCACCGUGGUCUCAAAAGCUCCUUGCUCGUUGGAAAAGCCCAGAGCAGCAGCCUUGACAGUAGGUGUGGCACCCUAAGAUAAACCCAAAGAUAAUCCAGUAGUGAAAAGCCAUGGAAUCCCAAGUUUUCAGAUAGGAGCUUGCAAAAACCUGUGAACUUCCAGCAUUUCCUCAGUUAAAAGAAAACAAAUCAAUAGGGGCAGAAGAAGUAAUAAAAAAAAAAAACUGCACCUCCACACUCAUAGCAACAAUCAUGUGACCUGGUGCUCCAGGUUUCCAAGCAGCCGAUCUGCAUGUACACAGGUAGUGUUCCCAGGCACGGAGAAGACAAAUGGGCUCGCAGUUCAUUAAACAGCAGGUGGGCCCCAGGAGACAGAGAAGCUUAACAUGUCUCUACGAAUAAGUGAGAGUUCUGAAGUCCAGGAAGGUGAUUUUUUCUAGAGCUGCAGCUAGCCAGUGACAGAGCAGAGACCUGGACUUCCUGACACCCAUACCCAUGGCUCUUCUGCUGCUACUGCACACAUUCUGACCAGUAACUCUAUUCUGUCUGAAGUUAAACAUCUUGUGAUUGCUUUGGGAAAUGAUAACUGAAUGAAAUAGGAGUUGUCAGUGCUAUGUGUCCAUUUCCAAUAAACACUAAAUUUCAGAGGUAUAAUGCCUCCCAACAGACAUAAUACUACAGUCAUUAGAAAAACCCUACAAGAAACAGAACAGUCUGUACACCAGCAUUAUAGAGGCACAGGAGGGCACACAGUGGCCAUUCUCAAAAGUGGAAUCUGUAGACCCAUGGGAGUUCACAUUCCACGAGGUCAAGAUCAUUUUCAUUGUAAUAUGAAAAUGUUAUUUGCCCUUUUCACUCUGUUGGCAUUUUUCACUCUUUGAUGAUGCAAAAGCAAUGGUGGGUAAAACUACUUGCACUUUAUAUCAAUCAAGACAGGGAUAGUAACUGUAUUAAUUUAGAUCCUUCGGUAUCAAGUGCUCAACUGUUUAAAAAAAAAAGGCAAUUUCACUUAAGAAUGUCCUUGAUAAAGAACAUGCAUUUCAAAUAUUCUGUGUGACAAAGUGGAAAGCAUGCAGAAUGCACUUCUGCUGUGUGCCAAAGUAUGAUGAUGGAGGGAAAAGCUCUGUGUGAGCAGAACUACCCAAUUUUGUCAUAAAAUGCUAUUUUUACUUAAAAAAAUAGUUGCUAAGCUAUACAUAUAUAGAAAUACAGAUUUUUCUGAAGAGAUAAAUGUUAAUAUUAAUAAAUAUGAAUUUUUGAAUAUUAACUACUGAAAUGUCGACAUAUUUGGAAGAUCUAUGUAACUAGUGAAACAAUAUUUUCCGAAUGAUCAAGCAUGAUGUCCUAAAACCAUGCAUAGUUAGAAGAUCUAAGCACAGACAGAACAAGGGAUCUUAAUACAAGAGCAUGAAAAGUUCAUUGACAUGCCUUUGGAUUCCAUUUAACAAACGUAUCUAUGAGUAACUCUUACUUGUUAGAGUUUAGUGUAAUUUCAAAGAAUGUCCACAAUUAUUCAAAAGGUUAUUAGAAUAUUCCUUUCUUUUCCAAGUACAUGUUGUUGAGAGGUUGGAUUGUUUUUAUAUACUUCAAACACAGCUACAUACCUCAACAGAUGGAAUGCAGAAACAGAAGGAAAUCUAGCUGUCUUCUACCAAGCCAGAUUUAAGAAAUUUGCAAAAACGUAAAACAAGGUCACUCCUCUCACUACAUUUUCUUUUGGAAACUGUAAUUUCUUCCAUAAAAAUAUGUUAUUUCUACCAAUAUGUAAUGGGGUUAUUAUUGUUAUUUUAAAAUAAACUAAAUUAUUUUUAUA